rnacentral:tRNA from 1 species
GGAGGAGUGUCCGAGCGGUUUAAGGAGCUGGUCUUGAAAACCAGUGUCUCUGUCAAGGAGCCAAGGGUUCGAAUCCCUUCUCCUCCGCCA